rnacentral:rRNA from 1 species
AACGAACGCUGGCGGCAUGCCUAACACAUGCAAGUCGAACGAGACCUUCGGGUCUAGUGGCGCACGGGUGCGUAACGCGUGGGAACCUGCCCUUAGGUUCGGAAUAACUCCCCGAAAGGGGUGCUAAUACCGGAUAAUGUCUUCGGACCAAAGAUUUAUCGCCUUUGGAUGGGCCCGCGUUGGAUUAGCUAGUUGGUAGGGUAAAAGCCUACCAAGGCGACGAUCCAUAGCUGGUCUGAGAGGAUGAUCAGCCACACUGGGACUGAGACACGGCCCAGACUCCUACGGGAGGCAGCAGUGGGGAAUAUUGGACAAUGGGCGAAAGCCUGAUCCAGCAAUGCCGCGUGAGUGAUGAAGGCCUUAGGGUUGUAAAGCUCUUUUACCCGGGAUGAUAAUGACAGUACAGGGAGAAUAAGCUCCGGCUAACUCCGUG